rnacentral:tRNA from 1 species
GGGGUUGUGGCUCAGCGGUAGAGUGCUCGCCUCGCAUGUGCGAGACCCUGGGUUUGAUCCUCAGCACCACA